CCUACGGGUGGCAGCAGUGGGGAAUAUUGGGCAAUGGGCGCAAGCCUGACCCAGCAACGCCGCGUGAAGGAAGAAGGCUUUCGGGUUGUACACUUCUUUUGUCAGGGACGAAGCAAGUGACGGUACCUGACGAAUAAGCCACGGCUAACUACGUGCCAGCAGCCGCGGUAAUACGUAGGUGGCAAGCGUUAUCCGGAUUUACUGGGUGUAAAGGGUGCGUAGGCGGUCUGUUAAGUCAGCGGGAAAAUUGCGGGGCUCAACCCCGUCGAGCCGUUGAAACUGGCAGACUUGAGUUGGCGAGAAGUACGCGGAAUGCGCGGUGUAGCGGUGAAAUGCAUAGAUAUCGCGCAGAACUCCGAUUGCGAAGGCAGCGUACCGGCGCCAGACUGACGCUGAGGCACGAAAGCGUGGGGAUCGAACAGGAUUAGAUACCCCUGUAGUC
rnacentral:rRNA from 1 species